GGCGAUGUGGCUCAGCGGUUAAAGCAAUCGGUUCAUACCCGAUAGAUCGGUAGUUCGAUUCUACCCAUCGCCACCA
rnacentral:tRNA from 1 species